rnacentral:rRNA from 1 species
AGAGUUUGAUCAUGGCUCAGAAUCAACGCUGGCGGCGUGCCUCAGACAUGCAAGUCGAACGCGAAAGUUUCCUUCGGGAGACAAGUAGAGUGGCGCACGGGUGAGUAACACGUAGGUAAUCUACCUUCGGAUGGGGAAUAACAAUCGGAAACGGUUGCUAAUACCGCAUAAUGCAGCGGCACCUAAUGGUGACAGUUGUUAAAGCGGGGGAUCGUAAGACCUCGCGUCUGAAGAGGAGCCUGCGGCGGAUUAGCUAGUUGGUAAGGUAACGGCUUACCAAGGCAACGAUCCGUAACCGGCCUGAGAGGGCGGUCGGUCACACUGACACUGACAUACGGGUCAGACUCCUACGGGAGGCAGCAGUCGGGAAUUUUGGGCAAUGGGCGAAAGCCUGACCCAGCAACGCCGCGUGAAGGAUGAAAUCCCUCGGGAUGUAAACUUCGCAAGAACGGGAAGAAUAAGUUUCAGUUAAUAUCUGAAACGAUGGCGGUACCGUUUGUAAGCUCCGGCUAACUCCGUGCCAGCAGCCGCGGUAAUACGGGGGGAGCAA